rnacentral:rRNA from 1 species
UGGGGAAUAUUGGACAAUGGGCGAAAGCCUGAUCCAGCCAUGCCGCGUGUGUGAAGAAGGCCUUUUGGUUGUAAAGCACUUUAAGCGAGGAGGAGGCUACUUAGAUUAAUACUCUAGGAUAGUGGACGUUACUCGCAGAAUAAGCACCGGCUAACUCUGUGCCAGCAGCCGCGGUAAUACAGAGGGUGCGAGCGUUAAUCGGAUUUACUGGGCGUAAAGCGUGCGUAGGCGGCUUUUUAAGUCGGAUGUGAAAUCCCUGAGCUUAACUUAGGAAUUGCAUUCGAUACUGGGAAGCUAGAGUAUGGGAGAGGAUGGUAGAAUUCCAGGUGUAGCGGUGAAAUGCGUAGAGAUCUGGAGGAAUACCGAUGGCGAAGGCAGCCAUCUGGCCUAAUACUGACGCUGAGUACGAAAGCAUGGGGAGCAAACAGGAUUAGAUACCCCUGUAGUCCCUGAGCGGGCUGGCAAGGCGCAU